rnacentral:rRNA from 1 species
GACGAACGCUGGCGGCGUGCUUAACACAUGCGAGUCGAACGGAAAGGCCCUGCUUUUGUGGGGUGCUCGAGUGGCGAACGGGUGAGUAACACGUGAGUAACCUGCCCUUGACUUUGGGAUAACUUCAGGAAACUGGGGCUAAUACCGGAUAGGAGCUCCUGCUGCAUGGUGGGGGUUGGAAAGUUUCGGCGGUUGGGGAUGGACUCGCGGCUUAUCAGCUUGUUGGUGGGGUAGUGGCUUACCAAGGCUUUGACGGGUAGCCGGCCUGAGAGGGUGACCGGCCACAUUGGGACUGAGAUACGGCCCAGACUCCUACGGGAGGCAGCAGUGGGGAAUAUUGCACAAUGGGCGGAAGCCUGAUGCAGCAACGCCGCGUGCGGGAUGACGACCUUCGGGUUGUAAACCGCUUUCGCCUGUGACGAAGCGUGAGUGACGGUAAUGGGUAAAGAAGCACCGGCUAACUACGUG